rnacentral:rRNA from 1 species
UACAGAGGUCUCAAGCGUUGUUCGGAUUCAUUGGGCGUAAAGGGUGCGUAGGUGGCGCCGUAAGUGGGGUGUGAAAUCCCGGGGCUUAACUCCGGAACUGCAUUCCAUACUGCGGUGCUUGAGGACUGGAGAGGAGACUGGAAUUUACGGUGUAGCAGUGAAAUGCGUAGAGAUCGUAAGGAAGACCAGUGGCGAAGGCGGGUCUCUGGACAGUUCCUGACACUGAGGCACGAAGGCCAGGGGAGCAAACGGG